rnacentral:rRNA from 1 species
UACGGAGGGUGGAAGCGUUGCUCGGAAUCACUGGGCGUAAAGCGUACGCAGGCGGCUCGUUAAGUCGGGUGUGAAAGCCCGGGGCUCAACCCCGGAAUUGCGCCCGAUACUGGCGAGCUUGAGUACGGGAGAGGGAUAGCGGAAUUCCUGGUGUAGAGGUGAAAUUCGUAGAUAUCAGGAGGAACACCAGUGGCGAAAGCGGCUUCCUGGCCCGAUACUGACGCUCAUGUACGAAAGCGUGGGGAGCAAACAGG